rnacentral:lncRNA from 1 species
CUCUUGUGAAAUUUUGAACUCUUUUACUAAGUAUUGCUGCCAUUUAUUCUUUGUUUUUUCUGCUUUAAUUAUCAUAAAGUUUGUGAGGCUUAGACCAUUUUCUCCUAUUGAAUCCCUAUUCUUCACUAAAUCAAGUUUGGUGUCUAGUGCAUGACUCUUUUGUCCUUUUGGAGUUGUAUUCUCAAUUGAGUUUUGGUUUUACCUGUUGAAUUUAAGGUUGAUUUAGAUUUGUUUUCUAUACUAGGUUAGAUAAGUCAAAGUAAACAGGAGGGGC